CCGGCGACCGGCGCACGGGUGAGUAACACGUAUGCAACCUGGCCGUGACAGAUGGAUAACCGGGAGAAAUCCCGCCUAAUACAGCAUGACGCCGGGAAGGGACAUCCCUCUCCGGCCAAAGGGGGCGACUCCGGUCACGGAUGGGCAUGCGGCGCAUUAGGUAGUUGGUGGGGCAACGGCCCACCAAGCCGACGAUGCGUAGGGGUUCUGAGAGGAAGGUCCCCCACAUUGGAACUGAGACACGGUCCAAACUCCUACGGAAGGCAGCAG
rnacentral:rRNA from 1 species